rnacentral:rRNA from 1 species
AGAACGAACGCUGGCGGCAUGCCUAACACAUGCAAGUCGAACGAGACCUUCGGGUCUAGUGGCGCACGGGUGCGUAACGCGUGGGAAUCUGCCCUUGGGUUCGGGAUAACAGUUGGAAACGACUGCUAAUACCGGAUGAUGUCUUCGGACCAAAGAUUUAUCGCCCAGGGAUGAGCCCGCGUAAGAUUAGCUAGUUGGUGGGGUAAAGGCCUACCAAGGCGACGAUCUUUAGCUGGUCUGAGAGGAUGAUCAGCCACACUGGGACUGAGACACGGCCCAGACUCCUACGGGAGGCAGCAGUGGGGAAUAGUUGGACAAUGGGCGAAAGCCUGAUCCAGCAAUGCCGCGUGAGUGAUGAAGGCCUUAGGUUGUAAAGCUCUUUACCCGGGAUGAUAAUGACAGUACCGGAGAAUAAGCCCGGCUAACUCCGUGCCAGCAGCCGC